UACGAAGGGGGCUAGCGUUGUUCGGAUUUACUGGGCGUAAAGCGCACGUAGGCGGAUUGUUAAGUCGGGGGUGAAAUCCUGGAGCUCAACUCCAGAACUGCCCUUCGAUACUGGCAAUCUCGAGUCCGGAAGAGGUAAGUGGAACUCCUAGUGUAGAGGUGGAAUUCGUAGAUAUUAGGAAGAACACCAGUGGCGAAGGCGGCUUACUGGUCCGGUACUGACGCUGAGGUGCGAAAGCGUGGGGGAGGCAAACA
rnacentral:rRNA from 1 species